GUGAACAGUCCCCACUCUCUGAGAGAGGGUCUGGGCGUGAUGACUGAGGAAUGAUGUGUUCCUUAUGUUCAACUGUAACAGACCAGGCAAGGCUGUGAGCUGCCCACUGUUUCCUGAGCUGUUUCUCAGAGGCUGACUUUGGCUGAUUGCCUAGUCCAGACUCCUGAGGGUUUGAUACAUGCAGGGAGGAUAAAACUACAACAUAGGGUGUUGUGUGCUAAGGAGAAAGGAAUUUAUACAUCAAGGAUCCCCCCGUGUCUCCAAGGUUAGAACGCUCCUCCCCGGGAAGAGGUCGUCCGGGGUGAAGUUCACUUUCAGGCAGGUUGCAGUGCAUCAGUUGCAUCACCCUGCAGUAGAGGGAAGGCUGCUCCAGAGUUCACCCCGAUCACAGCCCAGACAAGUACGCUUCCACAAGGUCUAGGACAUCUAAGACAGACUUUUCCACGCGUCUGGCAUCACGGCAUAGACAAGUACGUUUCCAGAAGGUCUAGGACGACAGACUUGUCCAAGCGUCUGGCAUCUUUCUCCAACCUGCUUCUGGUGGACUGGUCUGCCCACUGAUGACUACAGUUGGUGCGGGGAGGACGGAAGACGUGGAUGCACCAGAGCUCAUUUCUUCAAGAGGCU